GCCCGGCAGCGGGCCCUGGCCGACGCGCGGGCGCUGCGGGCGCUCGCCGAGGCCCGCUCCGCCCCCGGCGUCGGGCC
rnacentral:tRNA from 1 species